rnacentral:rRNA from 1 species
UACGGAGGGGGCUAGCGUUGUUCGGAAUUACUGGGCGUAAAGCGCACGUAGGCGGACUUUUAAGUCAGGGGUGAAAUCCCGGGCUCAACCUCGGAACUGCCUUGAUACUGGAAGUCUUGAGUAUGGAAGAGGUAAGUGGAAUUGCGAGUGUAGAGGUGAAAUUCGUAGAUAUUCGCAGGAACACCAGUGGCGAAGGCGGCUUACUGGUCCAUUACUGGACGCUGAGGUGCGAAAGCGUGGGGAGCAAACAGGG